UACAGAGGUCUCAAGCGUUGUUCGGAUUCAUUGGGCGUAAAGGGCGCGUAGGCGGCGUGACAAGUCACUUGUGAAAUCUCCGGGCUUAACUCGGAACGGCCAAGUGAAACUGUCAUGCUAGAGUGCAGAAGGGGCAAUCGGAAUUCCUGGUGGAGCGGUGAAAUGCGCAGAUAUCAGGAGGAACACCCGUAGCGAAGGCGGCACUCUGGGCCGGAACUGACGCUGAGGAGCGAAAGCGUGGGGAGCGAACAGG
rnacentral:rRNA from 1 species